AACGAACGCUGGCGGCAUGCCUAACACAUGCAAGUCGAACGAGACCUUCGGGUCUAGCGGCGCACGGGUGCGUAACGCGUGGGAACCUGCCCUUAGGUUCGGAAUAACUCCCCGAAAGGGGUGCUAAUACCGGAUAAUGUCUUCGGACCAAAGAUUUAUCGCCUUUGGAUGGGCCCGCGUUGGAUUAGCUAGUUGGUAGGGUAAAAGCCUACCAAGGCGACGAUCCAUAGCUGGUCUGAGAGGAUGAUCAGCCACACUGGGACUGAGACACGGCCCAGACUCAUACGGGAGGCAGCAGUGGGGAAUAUUGGACAAUGGGCGAAAGCCUGAUCCAGAAAUGCCGCGUGAGUGAUGAAGGCCUUAGGGUUGUAAAGCUCUUUUACCCGGGAUGAUAAUGACAGUACCGGGAGAAUAAGCUCCGGCUAACUCCGUG
rnacentral:rRNA from 1 species